rnacentral:rRNA from 1 species
AGUGAACGCUGGCGGUAGGCCUAACACAUGCAAGUCGAACGGCAGCACAGUAAGAGCUUGCUCUUACGGGUGGCGAGUGGCGGACGGGUGAGGAAUACAUCGGAAUCUACUUUUUCGUGGGGGAUAACGUAGGGAAACUUACGCUAAUACCGCAUACGACCUACGGGUGAAAGCAGGGGAUCUUCGGACCUUGCGCGAUUGAAUGAGCCGAUGUCGGAUUAGCUAGUUGGCGGGGUAAAGGCCCACCAAGGCGACGAUCCGUAGCUGGUCUGAGAGGAAGAUACGCCAGACUGGAACUGAGACAGGGUCCAGACUCCUAGGGGAGGCCGCAGUGGGGAAUAUUGGACAAAGGGGGCAAGCCUGAUCCAGCAAUACCGCGGGGGUGAAGAAGGCCUUCGGGUUGUAAAGCCCUUUUGUUGGGAAAGAAAAACAGCAGGUUAAUACCCCGCUGUUCUGACGGUACCCAAAGAAUAAGCACCGGCUAACUUCGUG